AUGCACCGAAGCUGCGGCAGCGACACUAUGUGUUGUUGGGUAGGGGAGCGUUCUGUAAGCCUGUGAAGGUGUGUCGUGAGGCAUGCUGGAGGUAUCAGAAGUGCGAAUGCUGACAUAAGUAACGAUAAAGCGGGUGAAAAGCCCGCUCGCCGGAAGACCAAGGGUUCCUGUCCAACGUUAAUCGGGGCAGGGUGAGUCGACCCCUAAGGCGAGGCCGAAAGGCGUAGUCGAUGGGAAACGGGUUAAUAUUCCCGUACUUGGUGUUACUGCGAAGGGGGGACGGAGAAGGCUAUGUUGGCCGGGCGACGGUUGUCCCGGUUUAAGCGUGUAGGUGUGUGUUCCAGGUAAAUCCGGUUCACUUUAACACUGAGGCGUGACGACGAGGCACUACGGUGCUGAAGCAACAAAUGCCCUGCUUCCAGGAAAAGCCUCUAAGCAUCAGGUAACAUCAAAUCGUACCCCAAACCGACACAGGUGGUCAGGUAGAGAAUACCAAGGCGCUUGAGAGAACUCGGGUGAAGGAACUAGGCAAAAUGGUGCCGUAACUUCGGGAGAAGGCACGCUGACACGUAGGUGAAGUGAUUUACUCAUGGAGCUGAAGUCAGUCGAAGAUACCAGCUGGCUGCAACUGUUUAUUAAAAACACAGCACUGUGCAAACACGAAAGUGGACGUAUACGGUGUGACGCCUGCCCGGUGCCGGAAGGUUAAUUGAUGGGGUCAGCGCAAGCGAAGCUCCUGAUCGAAGCCCCGGUAAACGGCGGCCGUAACUAUAACGGUCCUAAGGUAGCGAAAUUCCUUGUCGGGUAAGUUCCGACCUGCACGAAUGGCGUAAUGAUGGCCAGGCUGUCUCCACCCGAGACUCAGUGAAAUUGAACUCGCUGUGAAGAUGCAGUGUACCCGCGGCAAGACGGAAAGACCCCGUGAACCUUUACUAUAGCUUGACACUGAACAUUGAGCCUUGAUGUGUAGGAUAGGUGGGAGGCUUUGAAGUGUGGACGCCAGUCUGCAUGGAGCCGACCUUGAAAUACCACCCUUUAAUGUUUGAUGUUCUAACGUGGACCCGUGAUCCGGGUUGCGGACAGUGUCUGGUGGGUAGUUUGACUGGGGCGGUCUCCUCCUAAAGAGUAACGGAGGAGCACGAAGGUUGGCUAAUCCUGGUCGGACAUCAGGAGGUUAGUGCAAUGGCAUAAGCCAGCUUGACUGCGAGCGUGACGGCGCGAGCAGGUGCGAAAGCAGGUCAUAGUGAUCCGGUGGUUCUGAAUGGAAGGGCCAUCGCUCAACGGAUAAAAGGUACUCCGGGGAUAACAGGCUGAUACCGCCCAAGAGUUCAUAUCGACGGCGGUGUUUGGCACCUCGAUGUCGGCUCAUCACAUCCUGGGGCUGAAGUAGGUCCCAAGGGUAUGGCUGUUCGCCAUUUAAAGUGGUACGCGAGCUGGGUUUAGAACGUCGUGAGACAGUUCGGUCCCUAUCUGCCGUGGGCGCUGGAGAACUGAGGGGGGCUGCUCCUAGUACGAGAGGACCGGAGUGGACGCAUCACUGGUGUUCGGGUUGUCAUGCCAAUGGCACUGCCCGGUAGCUAAAUGCGGAAGAGAUAAGUGCUGAAAGCAUCUAAGCACGAAACUUGCCCCGAGAUGAGUUCUCCCUGAGACUUAAAGUCUCCUGAAGGAACGUUGAAGACGACGACGUUGAUAGGCCGGGUGUGUAAGCGCAGCGAUGCGUUGAGCUAACCGGUACUAAUGAACCGUGAGGCUUAACCUUACAAC
rnacentral:rRNA from 1 species